UGAAGGUCUCUGCAAACUGUA
rnacentral:siRNA from 1 species